UGGUAGCCUACGUUUUCUGUCGUUUGGUGGGUGUAUCAGAGAUGUUACCCAAUCAGCAGCGACAUGUAUAUAAACCGCACCGUAUUAAAAAUGCAGUGGGCAUAAUGGAUCGAACUAAAGUCCUUUACAAAUCAAUGGCCUUCUCAGCCAUAGACAUAUGUUCUCAGCUGCCAUAGUUGCAACGCUUGCGUAACACAACAGGGUGUUCAAUGCACCACCGUUGCCGUUUAAGUAAACAUUUUGUCGGGGCUGAACGCGCCCCUGAACUCAGUGGCUUAGCUUCUCUAGAUUUUUUUCAGCGGAAGCUUAUUGUUCAAAAUAACGUCUGAGCUGAGAAACAGCUGCAGCUUGAAUUUUAACGGAGUUAUAUUUUGGAUCACAAAAACGUUUUUACAGACAAAAAAAAAAAAAAAAAAAACAUACAGAUGCAAAUAUUAGGUACCUCGGAGGGGAAUGCAAUUCUGCAAAGCACAGAUGUGACUUUCAGCAGGAAUAUCACAGGAGGUCAGCAGCAUGCAUACCCCUGGUCUCAGCCCCGUACUGUGGAGAGGAGCACACCUAUAAGAACCUGAGCUGAUUCGUUAACAUCACCCAGGAGUCUCUGCUCACUGCACCAGUUGGUCUGGCUGAGACUUACUCCAGCUGUCGGCCGGAUCAAAUGCCACCUUAUUACCAAGGCGGCUUUUUGUUACCAAGGUAACAAGUCACCCGAUAUUUUGCAAGUAACUGCUACCUCGGUGUCAAUUUUCCUCCAGCCACCCUCGUGCUUUAUCACUGUUAAAG